rnacentral:ribozyme from 1 species
GGCGGUGGCGGCAACAAAAAGCACGGCGACCGCCCCAAACGUGACCCCGAUUGUACGUUGGUGAUCAAAAACUUGAGCGAAAAUACCAAGGAUUCCGAUUUGAGGGCAUUGUUCGAAAAGU